AUUGAACGCUAGCGGGAUGCCUUACACAUGCAAGUCGAACGGCAGCGCGGACUUCGGUCUGGCGGCGAGUGGCGAACGGGUGGGUAAUGUAUCGGAACGUGCCCAAUAGCGGGGGAUAACUACUCGAAAGAGUAGCUAAUACCGCAUACGCCCUACGGGGGAAAGGGGGGGAUCGCAAGACCUCUCACUAUUGGAGCGGCCGAUGUGGGAUUAGCUAGUUGGUGAGGUAAAGGCUCACCAAGGCGACGAUCCGUAGCUGGUGUGAGAGGACGGCCGGCCACACUGGGACUGAGACACGGCCCAGGCUCCUACGGGAGGCAGCAGUGGGGAAUUUUGGACAAUGGGGGGAACCCUGAGCCAGCCAUUCCGCGUGUGCGAUGAAGGCCUUCGGGUUGUAAAGCACGUUUGGCAGGAAAGAAAUCGCAUCAAUUAAUACUUGGUGUGGAUGACGGUACCUGCAGAAUAAGCACCGGCUAACUACGUGCCAGCCGCCGCGGUAA
rnacentral:rRNA from 1 species